rnacentral:rRNA from 1 species
AGAGUUGAUCCUGGCUUAGGACGAACGCUGGCGGCGUGCUUCAUACAUGCAAGUCGAACGAGAAGCUCACUUCGGUGAGUGGAAAGUGGCGGACGGGUGAGUAAUAUGUAGAGAAUCUGCCCUAGAGAGAGGGACAACAGAGGGAAACUUCUGCUAAUACCUCAUAUGCGCGUAGCUGAGAUGCUAUUCGUGAAAACUCCGGUGCUCUAGGAUGAGUCUGCAUCUGAUUAGCUAGUUGGCGGUGUAAUGGACCACCAAGGCGACGAUCAGUAGCUGGUUUGAGAGGAUGAUCAGCCACAAUGGGACUGAGACACGGCCCAUACUCCUACGGGAGGCAGCAGUAGGGAAUUUUGCGCAAUGGGCGAAAGCCUGAACGCAGCAACGCCGCGUGAAUGAAGAAGCCCUUCGGGGUGUAAAGUUCUGUCAGUGGGGACGAAACUUGACGGUACCCACAGAGGAAGCACCGGCUAACUCCGUGCCAGCAGCCGC